rnacentral:rRNA from 1 species
AGUUGUGUAGUGCGAUCGGUGGAUGCCUUGGCACCAAGAGCCGAUGAAGGACGUUGUGACCUGCGAUAAGCCCUGGGGAGUUGGUGAGCGAGCUGUGAUCCGGGGGUGUCCGAAUGGGGAAACCUGGAAUGUCCGGAGUAGUGUCCGGUGGCCCUGCCCUGAAUGUAUAGGGGUGUGGGUGGUAACGCGGGGAAGUGAAACAUCUUAGUACCCGUAGGAAGAGAAAACAAGUGUGAUUCCGUGAGUAGUGGCGAGCGAAAGCGGAGGAGGCUAAACCGUGUGUGUGUUCAAGCCGGCAGGUGUUGCAUGUGCGGGGUUGUGGGGGCCUUGUGGUUCUGCUGCCGCAGGAUUGGCCAGUGAGAAAUGUUGCGUGAAGGUGAAGCGUCUGGGAAGGCGUACCGGAGUGGGUGAGAGUCCUGUAACUGUAAGCGUGGCACUGGUGUGGGGUUGCCCCGAGUAGCGUGGAACUCGUGGAAUUUCGCGUGAAUCUGGCGGGACCACCCGUCAAGCCUAAAUACUCCUUGGUGACCGAUAGUGGAUGAGUACCGUGAGGGAAGGGUGAAAAGUACCCCGGGAGGGGAGUGAAAUAGUACCUGAAACCGUGUGCUUACAAGCGGUCGGAGUCUGCAUUUAUGUGGAUGACGGCGUGCCUUUUGUAUAAUGAGCCUACGAGUUGCUCCUGUUGUGCGAGGUUAAGCCCCUAAGGGGUGGAGCCGCAGCGAAAGCGAGUCUGAAUAGGGCGUGCAGUACAGCGGGGCAGACGCGAAACCAAGUGAUCUAUCCAUGGCCAGGGUGAAGUGGGGGUAAAACCCCAUGGAGGCCCGAACCGGUUGACGUUGAAAAGUCUUCGGAUGAGCUGUGGAUAGGGGUGAAAGGCUAAACAAAUCUGGAAAUAGCUGGUUCUCCCCGAAAACUAUUUAGGUAGUGCCUCGAGUCUCACUACAGGGGGUAGAGCACUGUUAUGGCUAGGGGGUCAUCGCGACUUACCAAACCAUGGCAAACUCCGAAUACCUGUAAGUGCAAUCUCGGGAGACAGACAUCGGGUGCUAACGUCCGGUGUCAAGAGGGAAACAACCCAGACCGCCAGCUAAGGUCCCUAAUAUCUGCUAAGUGGAAAACGAAGUGGGAAGGCUAAAACAGUCAGGAGGUUGGCUUAGAAGCAGCCACCCUUUAAAGAAAGCGUAAUAGCUCACUAGUCGAGU